GACGAACGCUGGCGGCGUGCCUAAUACAUGCAAGUCGAACGCAGUGGGGACGGGUGAGUAACACGUGGGUAACCUCCCAUCAGAGGGGAUAACACUUGGAAACAGGUGAUAAACCGAUACUGAUGGAUGGACCCGCGGUGCAUUAGCUAGUGGGUGAGGUAACGGCUCAGCAAUGCCAGGCUGCAUAGGCGACCUGAGAGGGUGAUCGACCACACUGCGACGGGACCACGGCCCAAACUUCGACGUGAGUCAGCAUUAGGAAAUCUUCGGCAAGUGACGAAAGUCUAACCGAGCAACGCCGCGUGAUUGAAAAGGGUUUUCGGAUCGUAAAACUCUUUUGUUAGAGAAGCGGUAUCUAACCAGAAAGCCACGGCUAACUACGUGCCAGCAGCCGCGGUAAUAC
rnacentral:rRNA from 1 species